UAGCCGCAGUAUUUUGACUGUGCGAAGGUAGCGUGAUAAUUAGGCUAUUAAUUGUAGUCUUGAAUGAAUGGUUAAACAUAAGAUCUUCUGUUUUUUUUAUAAUGAUGAAUUUUAAUAAUUAGUAAAAAUGCUGAUAUGAAACAUAAAGACGAGAAGACCCUAUGAGUUUUAUAUAACUGUUUUAGAAAUGAUGGAGUAGUCUAAGAAGGGUAUAUUUGGUUGGGGCGACCUUAAUAUAAAACAUUAAAUAUAAGAAAAUUGUUUGAUCCCUUUUUAAAGGUUAAAAAAAAAAAUUACCCUAGGGGUAACCCCCUAAUUUCCUUGAAAAAUUCCUAUUGAUAAAGAAAUUUGGGACCCCCAUGUUUAAAUAAAAAAACCAAAGGGGGCCGGGACUUUUAAAGGGAGACCGUUCCCCCAUUAAAUUCUUACA
rnacentral:rRNA from 1 species